rnacentral:rRNA from 1 species
UACAGAGGGUGCGAGCGUUGUCCGGAAUCAUUGGGCGUAAAGGGCGCGUAGGUGGCCCGGUCAGCGUGCGGUGAAAGCUCGGGGCUCAACCCCGAGUCGGCCGUGCGAACUGCUGGGCUUGAGCACUGUAGAGGCAGGCGGAAUUCCGGGUGUAGCGGUGGAAUGCGUAGAGAUCCGGAAGAACACCGGUGGCGAAGGCGGCCUGCUGGGCAGUGGCUGACACUGAGGCGCGACAGCGUGGGGAGCAAACAGG